AAAGUAAUAAUUUAUUAAAGAAUAUUUAAUUUGCAAUUAAAAAGAGACUUUCUUACUUUU
rnacentral:tRNA from 1 species